rnacentral:rRNA from 1 species
UACAGAGGUCCCGAGCGUUGUUCGGAUUCAUUGGGCGUAAAGGGUGCGUAGGCGGUUUUCUAAGUUUGAUGUGAAAUCCCGGGGCUCAACCCUGGAAUUGCAUUGAAUACUGGGAGACUAGAGUACUGGAGAGGAAACUGGAAUUUACGGUGUAGCAGUGAAAUGCGUAGAGAUCGUAAGGAAGACCAGUGGCGAAGGCGAGUUUCUGGACAGUUACCGACGCUGAGGCACGAAGGCCAGGGGAGCAAACGGG